UACGUAGGGCGCAAGCGUUAUCCGGAAUUAUUGGGCGUAAAGAGCUCGUAGGCGGUUUGUCGCGUCUGCCGUGAAAGUCCGAGGCUCAACCUCGGGCCUGCAGUGGGUACGGGCAGACUAGAGUGCGGUAGGGGAGAUUGGAAUCCUGGUGUAGCGGUGGAAUGCGCAGAUAUCAGGAGGAACACCAAUGGGCGAAGGCAGAUCUCUGGGCCGUAACUGACGCUGGAGGAGCGAAAGCUGGGAGCGAACAGG
rnacentral:rRNA from 1 species